UCCUACGGGGGGCAGCAGUGAGGAAUAUUGGUCAAUGGGCGGGAGCCUGAACCAGCCAAGUCGCGUGAGGGAAGACGGUCCUAUGGAUUGUAAACCUCUUUUGUCGGGGAGCAAAGAGAUCACGUGUGGUCAAAAGCGAGAGUACCCGAAGAAAAGCAUCGGCUAACUCCGUGCCAGCAGCUGCGGUAAUACGGAGGAUGCGAGCGUUAUCCGGAUUUAUUGGGUUUAAAGGGUGCGUAGGCGGGACGGUAAGUCAGCGGUAAAAAUGCGGAGCUCAACUCCGUCGAGCCGCUGAAACUGCCGUU
rnacentral:rRNA from 1 species